UCAAGGUAGUAUAUUUGAAAGCAACAAGCCAGUGGAGUUCAGAAAAUUAUACAUCUCAUCCUGAAGCAGAGUGAUCUCAAGAUGGAUUUGCACUCUAAGUUCCAGUGUUGAAGCAGUCUCUUCAGUGGAGUUGAGGUAACUGACCAGCCCAGCACAGCUGCCUAAAGGGAGUGAAAUAUCUCCAAGUAACUCUGAGGAAACACAGAAUGAAGACAACAACCAGAAAUAAGAUAACAUGUUCCUCUGGCCACCCUGUCAGGAAGGUGAAGUCAAUGAGGAAUUCUCCAGUCAGCUGGAAGGAGCUUCACAGCCACAAGCUCUGGUGCUCAUGGUGAACUUCUGUCACCCUGAUCUCUGCUGGAGAAACAACUCAUGGGCAGACAGGAGCCCGGAGGCUCCUGCAGAGCACUGAUGGUAAUGUUUUGACACAGCUGGUGGAGGAGCCAUGGAGGAGAGGUGUGCUGCUGGAGAGGUGUACUGACAAACAAGGAAGGACUGGCUGGGGAAUCACAGAAUCAUAAAAUCAUAGAAUUGCUAAGGUUGGCAAGUUCACCACAUCCAGCCGUUAACCAUGUGAAUGUUGGGGUCAGCCUUGGCCACAGUGCCACGGACUACAGGAUCCAGCAUGGAGGAAGCCAGGCAAUAAAUAGGAUCACGACCCUUGACUUCAGGAGAGAUACCUUUGGCCUCCUCAAGGAUUUACCUGGAGGAGUCCCAUGGGGUAGGGAUCUAGAAGGUAAGGAUGUCCAAGAGAGCUGGUUAAUGCUCAAAUGUCACUUCCUCCAACCUCAACACUGGUGCAUCCCUAUGAAUAAGAAAUCACACAAAGCAGAGCAGGAGACCUGCAUGGAUGAGCAAAGAGCUUCUGGCAAAACCCAAAAGGAAGAAAAAAGUUUAUAAAAUGCCAAAAAAGGGACAGGCUGUUUGUGAGGAAUAUAAGAAUGUUGUCAGAGUAUGCAGAGAUGUGAUGAGGAACUCUCAGAUCCACUUGCAAUUGGGAAAAGGGAUGUCAAGGACAACAAGAAAGGUAUUCCACCCCAUUUUCUACCCCAGGUAUUACACUUGUUUUCAAAUUACACAGUGAGCCUGUAAGAUGGAAUGGGUUAUUUUUUAUCACAGCAGAAAAAGACUAACUGGGUGCACUUACAGUACAAUAAUGAAGGCUGCGUAUUAUCAUCCUGCUAACUCUAUUUUCUGCUUUAACCAAAUAAAAACCAGUAACAAACAUGAUACAAAAGUAUUUUGUAGCUGAAUAUCUAUCUUAUAACAUUCUGCCAAUUUUUUUCCCACUUCAAUUAACUUAAUAUAAAAGUACUUUUGGAAAAUAUUUGAUGUAAAUAUUAUUCUGUAUCUCCUUUUUGAAUUACUGUGAAUACAUUUCAUGUCUGAAAUGCCUACUUGUGAGGCUUUUUAUAUUAUAAGGUAGCACCAUACUUGCUAAUGAAGCAGCUGGUACACUGUUCUGUUAAAAAACAAGCACCAUGAAAGCACUGACCUGCUUUCCUGUGGCUUCUCAUUUUAGUACACAUAAUUUGGUAAAGCACUUAUUGUCAUUUAGCUCAGGUUGGAAUGGACCUUGAAAAGUCAUUCCUUGUUUAGCACCCUGACCACUUGACUUUAAAACCUCCAUGAUGGGGACUCUACUAAGGGCCUGGGACAUUGAUUGUUUUCACUGUAAAAAAUUCCUCUCUUAUAUCAAAAUGAAACCUCUCUGAGUACAGCUUGUGCCCUAUGCUUGUUGUCCUCUCCGUGUGUGUCCUUGUGAAGAGAGAGCAUUCAUGCUUUUUGUGGCUGCCUUUUGGGAGCUGCAAAACUAUGAUGAGAUUCCCUUGAGCUUCCUCUUCUCCAGGGUGAAAAGAGCAAACUCCUCAAGUCUUUCCCCAGAGAACAGGUUCUCCAGCUCUCUGAUCACCUUUGUGGCCCUCCUUUGAGCCCUCUCCAAUGUGUGUAUGUCUUUUUUUGAAUGGUUGCAUACCAGGACUGGGCACAGAACUGCAGGUGUGGCCUUUCAAUUGCAGACUAGACUGGGAUGAUCACAGCUCUGUCUCUGCUAGUUAUGAUCCAUGGAUGCAGCCCAGGAUCCAAUCUGCCUUCCUUGCUGCAGCAGCACACUCUGGACUCAUCCACCAGGAUUUCCAGGUCCCUUUCACCAAGGUUCCUCCUCAGACAAAUGGAUUCUAGCCUGUCCUGGGAACUUUGGUUAUGCCAUCCCAGGGGAACAGCCUUGCACUUUUAUUUGUUAAACUGCAUACUGUUCUUUCUAUCCCACUCUUCCAGCCUGUCCAGCUCUCCCUGUAAGACAUCCCUUCUGACAUGUUCAAUGCACCACCCAGCUUGGUGCCACCACCAGAUUUGGUGAUGGUUUUGGGAUUUUCAAUCCCAUCAUCCAGACCAGUGAGGAGGAUGUUAAAGAGCAUGCAGCCCUAUAGGGUUUGGGUAGGAAGAAAUUCCUCCUGAGGUCUUGCAGGAGCAGAAACUCCCUUGUGUUUGGUAGGCGUGGGCUUCCACUGAAGCUGAUCAAAGGAGGAGGAAGUCAUCCAUGAGAGAGGAAUUAAAUGGAAAACUAAGCCAAGAACCAGCCUCCUUCAGGUAAGCAUCAGAAUUCGGAGUUUGGUAAAGGAGCCUCUGCAGCUAUAAAUCCUGAAUCAGCCCUUUGAGCCAGAGGUUCCCACUUGGACUCAGAGGGAGCCAGAGAAGCUGAGCUCUAACACUAGCAGGAACUGAGUGCCAAGCUCAGCCCUCACAGAGCUGAGAUAUUUAAAGCUGUGUUUGCUCCUGAGAGAGGCAGUGCCUCUGACCCAUCCUUAGACAGGGAGGGGGCAAGAGCUCACCAUGAGCAUUUACUUCAAUAUGAUUUGCUUUAUUUUUAAAAUAUUUUUCCUUGAUUUUGAGCCUUCAGAAGACUCUUUCUGCUAAGUUAUAAUAGGUCUCUCUAUUCAGGGUGGAAACACUGAUCUUGAAAAUUUGAAAUUUGUUCCAAUGCAGAAAAGACAGCAAUGUAAGCUACUGGUGUCAUUGCAUUCUAGUGAUCACCUGGUAAAUAUUGAAUAGGAUUCAAAAUAGGCAUCUUGAAACUUCUGCAACCAAUCUUUUCUAGUUAAUGCCUCCAAUAAAGCAUUAACUUUCUCUAAUGUCAUUGUUUCACUGAAUUACUCAUAUAUGGGAGACAUUUUUUUCUGGUUAUUUAUCACCCAAGCCUAGAAUCCAUUACAAUUGCUCAUAUAAUAUUAGAGGUUUUGUGUACAUACUUGAGAAAGGUCUUAAACAAUAUAUUUACACUUGAUGUUGCCUGGGAAGUAGGAAAAAAACUCACUCAUUUUUUGUGGAGAUGGACAUCACUGUGACUGGAGAGGUUACUAAUAUUUAAUAUUAAUUGGUGAGUUGGUGAAAACAACCCUAUUAGACCACUUCAACACAGAAAUAGCAGACAUGCUUUUUCCUGCUUCAUUCAUUAUCUCUCAGUAAUCUCAGCUGUGAAGGGAGUCAACUGCAGACUCCAGACCCUUUGAAAAUAUAAUGCAAAAUCCACUUUUAUUCAGUGUUUUACCUACUAUACAAGAUACCCAUUCUGUGUGGCUUAUUUUUUUGCUAAUUAAAAUUUAAAUGGUCCAUCCUACCUCAUCAACUGUAUAAAAGAGACAUUUUUAUCAUUAAAGACAUGGUAGAAUCCUUAGGAUUUACUGUUUGUUCUCAAAAUUAAAUCUCCAGUGACAAAAAUGCAAUAUUUUUAUUUCCCAAGUCCAAUGUUUCAAUACUGUCAUUUAUUUAAUCCAUAUUAUAAUUUCCUUAAAAAUUCAAAGCCUUUUGCUCUAGCUGCAAACAGUAUUCUUCCCUGUUUUUCUUUUGAUUAUUUUUGAAAUAUUUUUGUGCAGUCACAAGCACAUCUAUAAAAUUACACUCAUCUUGCUGUGUGAGACAGCCAAUCCUGUCUGUCAUGUAUCACUUGAGAGACAUCAGAGACAGUUUUGUUAUCAAUGCUCAUUGUUCCAUUGACUUGAGUGAAUUUAGAUGAGCUUCAUUGUGAGUUUAUCUGAUGAUGGACCUCUGGUGAGGAUUAGGCAUAACCUAACAGCUACUGCAGAUUGCAUUUAGCCUUUACAAUUAAGCAGACAAUAAAUAAAUCAAUGGAGGAAUUAGUAGGGUGAAUGGCCUUCUCAAUGAAAACAAGCUGUGCAGUCACUCAGAUGGCCAUUAGUCAAGCUGAGCUGGGAAAGGCAGGCUUCAGACUAAUCAGACUAAUGCUCUUUUUUUUUUUCUCUGAGCAGUGAGAUUUAAAAUUUCUAUGGAAUAAAGAAAGACUAAUAGCAUUCUUCAGAAAGAAAAUUGUGGGAAUGAGAACAUCAAUUGUAGGAAUGACUGAUAAAAUUAUUUAAUUGACACUAACAUAAAGAUAGAUUUAGACAAAAAAGUAUGAUGGGCAAGUGAUGGAUUAAGCCUUUCAGUAUACAAGAAGGCUUUCUUUUGCAUCUGACUCUAGUGGAGAUGAAGAGAUCGUUUCACUCUAAUUUGACAGGAAGGUGCAGGUACUGUGGAUGAAAAAUCGGAAUAAAACCAGCAGGUUAAAAAACAUUUCAAAUACCUUUUACAGGAACAUCAAAAAUAAAAUUAGUCAAAGCUCACAGAAUUAACACAUUUUUGUAACAUUUCUUGAAUCCAAAAUUGGACAUCUCUUGAUAUGACUUCUGGGUUAUUUUUUCAAAUAACAAAACAAAAAGAAAAAAUUUUGUGCACAAAGAAGCUUUAUGUUUCAAAAAUUACUUAGUGGAAGUUAACAGCUGAAAGCUAAGGAAUUUCAGUCAAAAGUGCAAUUUUGAUAAGGUAAAGGACAACAUCAGUUUGCAAAAAUUAUAUUGCUAUUUUCCAUAUCUGUCUAAUCUGAAUUGUGAGGAUCAUGCAAUAGGUGAGAGAACACCUUCAGCAAAUGAUAAAAAAUAUAAAAUAAAAUCUGCAAAGCUGAUGUAUGUACAUGUAUGUACAUCAGCAUUUAAGAAUUGCAUAAAAUAAACUUUAUCCCAACAGUUUUUGCUCAGAGAUCCAAAGACAAGGCUAGACCAUUACAGCCCUACUGCAUCCAACAAAAAAGGGUAGCAAAUAGAAAUACAAGACACAGAUGCUACUUCUAGCUUGGAUUGUGAGCAUUAUUCUACAUUAAAGUAAAAAAAAAGCUUGCUUUUAAACCAGUGAAUGAUAAAUGUGUUGUUCAAAAGUUUGCAGAUACUCUAGCACUUUCUGGAAAAGGAGCUGUAAGUGGAACUUAUUCUGUGCAACAUCUCUGGUGUUUUCUCAUUGAAAGAGAAAUUAACUUGAGGGACAUGCAGUGAAUAAACUAAUUUGUUGUAAAGUACAAUUU